GACGAACGCUGGCGGCGUGCUUAACACAUGCGAGUCGAACGGUGAAGGGGUCUGCUUUUGUGGGCCCUGGACGAGUGGCGAACGGGUGAGUAACACGUGAGUAACCUGCCCCCGUAGUCUGGAUAACCGCAUGAAAGUGUGGCUAAAACGGGAUACGCUGGGUCAGUCGAAAGAGGGGUCUGGGAGAGAUUGGGCCUUGGGGGGGCUCAGGUGGGGGAUGGGCGCGCGGGCGAUAAGCUUGUAGGUGGGGUGAGGGCCUAACAAGGCGGGGACGGGUGGCCGAGCUGAGAGCGUGCACCAUCACACUGGGACUAAGACACAGCCCAGACUGCUACGGGAGGCAGCAGAAGAUUAUAUUACGCGAUGAACGCUAGUCUGAUGCAGCGGCGCCGCGUGAGAGAUGGUGCCCUUCGGGUUGUAAUCCUCUUUCGCCAGUGAAGCGGGCCUUCUCCUUGUGUGUGGAUUGACGUUAGCUGGAUAAGAAGCGCCGGCUAACUACGUG
rnacentral:rRNA from 1 species